CAUAGCGACUAUCGUGGCAUAUCAAUAAGCGGAGGAAAAGAAACUAACAAGGAUUCCCUUAGUAACGGCGAGUGAAGCGAGAAGAGCUCAAAUUUGAAAUCUUCAAGGUUUUACCUUGACGAAUUGUAGUUUAAAGAAGUGUUUUCUGUUGGAGUUUUGGUAAAAGUUCUUUGGAAUAGGACAUCAUAGAGGGUGAGAAUCCCGUAUUUGACCGUUACUUUCCAGCUGUGUGAUACACUUUCAAAGAGUCGGAUUGUUUGGGAAUGCAGUCCAAAAUGGGUGGUAAAUUUCAUCUAAAGCUAAAUACUGGCGAGAGACCGAUAGCGAACAAGUACCGUGAGGGAAAGAUGAAAAGAACUUUGAAAAGAGAGUUAAACAGUACGUGAAAUUGUCAAAAGGGAAGCGUUUGACACCAGUGUUGUUUAGUUGAAAAUCAAUUCAAUAAUUUUUGAUUUUAAGUAGUAUUGACUUCAUGAGCUUGCUGCUUUCUUUUCAGGAAUUAUUGAAUGCACUUUUCAGUUAACAAGUCAACAUCAAUUUCUUUUGUUGUAAAAGGGUAAGAGGAAGGUGGCUUACGCUUUCGGCGUAAGUGUUUAUAGCCUUUUACCUCUGCAAUCGGAGAGAUUGAGGACAGCAGCGUAGACCCCUUCUGGGGUUAGAUACACUUGUGCUAAGCUAUAGCCUUGUAUAGACAACUUGUUGACUAUGCUCAGUCAUGUAGCUUACUCGCUUGUGCUAUUUUACCUACGCUUAGGAUGUUGAUAUGCAUGACUGAUAU
rnacentral:rRNA from 1 species